AGACAUAACUGUUAUAAUUUAAAGCUUGCUCUAAACCUGAACUUGUGGGAAGAGAACUUGAUCUGAAGUCUAAGUUGUUAACGAAUAUGAUAUGGGAGGGUUGAGCUGCUAUUUAUCUAUUCCUAGAGAUGCUAGAAAUCUGGAGAAUUUUAUCUUUGAAAAUCUUUAAAAUAUCACAUGAUGAGUUCCUGUAUGAUGAGAGUUUAAAUUCCUACCACAGCCAUAUAUACAUGCUUAUUAGACUAUGAACCAUACCUGUACCUUUUACUGCUUAUGAGCAUUGAGUGUGGUCAAGCUGUGUAGACCCUUAGGAGCUUGUCAUGCGGUUAAAAUCAAGAUUCACUUGCACGUUCACUCACACAUGUUGCUUCUACUCCAGAAGUACGCAUCCACAUAUAUCCACUCAUUUCCAUCUCUAGAACCACCUAAAAGUAUUCUACUCCUAAUCCGGGAGAGAAUAGCCAAAAACAUUCUCCUAUUUCUGUUUUUCCCUCUGAAAUAAAUGCUCAAGUUAUCUUGGUUACUACCACUUGCUAUAUUAUUUCAGAAGAUGAGUGCUCUAAAAAAAGAGAGAAAGGAUACGAGGAAAUAAAAAGGGGCAAGUGCCCAGAACCUCGAAAGAAAAGAAAAAGUGAGACGAGAGGUAAAAAUGGACAAGUGUCCGACAGUAGAAUUAGGGUUACAAGAUACCCACCUGAGAGGAAAGAAAAAGAAAAUAUAGAGCAGCUCAUUCUCCUCAAAAGUUUCAAAGAGCAAGAAAGGUAUGUAUCCCCUCAAAAGAGCAAAAAGUAGAAUUAGACUUUCACCAUUGUUAUCACUAUCAUCACCAUACACCAUUCAUUCGCCACACAUGCACAUCUUGAUUUGACUUAUUGACUUGUUUCUCUGGAUCCAUGGUUUGACUAUGCAAUAAAUGUCUUGUAAGUAUGUAUAUUUUAUCUCCAACCUAUGAGCUCCAGAUAUCAAAACCUUAUUAAAGUAGGGUGAGAGAGAAGGCAAGGUCACUAUGCUUCAUACCACAAAUACUACAUACUUUGAGAGAAGGCAUCUACCAUCAUUGCCUUGGUAAUGAUCCAGAAAUACCACAAAAGAGAGAUUUGAGAGAGUCAUACAAGGAAUCUCUAAGUUUUAUUUGAAAAUCUGUAAAAACUCCAGAGCUAUAGCUGAUCAAGAAUAAGAGACACGGCACUUGACUAGACCGUUCU
rnacentral:lncRNA from 1 species